CGUGGCCUAAAGGAUAAGACGUCCGGUGCAUUCGUAUCUUGCGAUGCACCGGUGUUCGAAUCCCGCUGGCGGGUACCAAUUUUUCUAAUGAAAUACGUACUCAACAAAUGUUCACGAUUGACUUUCACAGUGAAGGAAUAACAUCGUGUAAUAAAAAUGAAACCCGCAAAAUUAUAAUUUACGUAAUUACUGGUGGUAGGAUCUCUUGUGAGUCCGCGCGGGUAGAUACCACCGCCCUGCCUAAUUCUGCCGUGAAGCAGUAAUGCGUUUCGGUUUGAAGGGUGGGGCAGCCUUUGUAUUAUACUGAGACCUUAAAACUUAUAUCUCAAGGUGGGUGGCGCAUUUACGUUGUAGAUGUCUACGGGCUCCAGUAACCACUCAACACCAGGUGGGCUGUGAGCUCUUUGACCCAUCUAAGCAAUAAAAAAAGGUGAAACGAACCGACACUAAAACCAAACAGUAACAGUGGUGGUGGUUCUUGGGUUAGAAAAGAAAAUAUUGCAAUUUGCACCCAAUGUUCAACCGAUACAAUUCAAAAUCAGUUACCGUAUUUAAUUAAUGAGUUAGUGUGAAAUUUUAAUAAGAACGUACAAAAACAAUCUCUAUUUUUUGUUUAAUACGAGCUGUGUAGUUUAUCAAUUUACAUAUGUGAAAGUUUAUUAUAAUAAAUACCCUUUUAGAUAUG